rnacentral:tRNA from 1 species
GGUCUCGUAGCUCAGUGGUAAGAGCGCUGGUCUUAUAAGCCAGAGGUCUUGGGUCCAAAUCCCAACGAGACCA